rnacentral:rRNA from 1 species
CAGUCGCCGCGGGAAUACAAAGGGUGCGAGCGUUAAUCGGAUUUACUGGGCGUAAAGCGUGCGUAGGCGGCUUUUUAAGUCGGAUGUGAAAUCCCUGAGCUUAACUUAGGAAUUGCAUUCGAUACUGGGAAGCUAGAGUAUGGGAGAGGAUGGUAGAAUUCCAGGUGUAGCGGUGAAAUGCGUAGAGAUCUGGAGGAAUACCGAUGGCGAAGGCAGCCAUCUGGCCUAAUACUGACGCUGAGGUACGAAAGCAUGGGGAGCAAACAGGAUUAAAUACCCCGGUAGUCCCUGUCUCUUAUAC